AAUAUUGGACAAUGGGCGAAAGCCUGAUCCAGCCAUGCCGCGUGUGUGAAGAAGGUCGUCGGAUUGUAAAGCACUUUCAGUUGGGAGGGAGGGGUUGAAGCUAAUACCUUCAAUCUUUGACGUUACCAACAGAAUAAGCACCGGCUAACUCCGUGCCAGCAGCCGCGGUAAUACAGAGGGUGCGAGCGUUAAUCGGAAUUACUGGGCGUAAAGGGCGCGUAGGUGGGUCAGUAAGAUCGGUGUGAAAUCCCCGGGCUUAACCUGGGAACUGCUUUCAUAACUGCUGAGCUAGAGUACGGUAGAAGGUAGUGGAAUUUCCUGUGUAGCGGUGAAAUGCGUAGAUAUAGGAAGGAACACCAGUGGCGAAGGCGACUACCUGGACUGAUACUGACACUGAGGUGCGAAAGCGUGGGGAGCAAACA
rnacentral:rRNA from 1 species